AGAAGAAAUUAAAAAGGUACAAGUAGUCUAAGGUAACCAUCUCACAAGGCAGUCUUCCCAACUCUUAUUAAAAACAAAAAUUAACGACUCUUCGACCAAGCAACAGUUCAGUUUCCACAAGUUGGGUUUGUAACUCCAACAAUAAGAGCAAGAUAAGGCCCAAUUUUAUCCCAAACUAAUAAAAGCCCAAAAUCAGCCCCAAACAUCUUCAUGCAGAUGUUAGCAGAAAACAAGAUCCAAUCUAAACUGAAACUUAUUAAAGCCCAAAUUCGAUACCGCCUUGAGGCCCAACCCAAACAAGACCUAAGUAUGUAUGUCCGUCUUCUCUCUCUUCCUCCUCUGUAGUCAUCUCUCUGGCUGCGACUGUCGAACCUCGCUUUAUCUCUGUUCCUCUUCCCUUUGUCUCUCCGUUGGGGACCAACUCGCCGGCGCUAAGUGGUUUAUAUUGUUGGAAGUAGAAAAUAGGAAAAAGCUAGUCGUUUUUCCUGGUUUUAAAAGAAGAGUCCAAGCUUUAUCGUUAUAAGUUGCUGCUAUUGAUUUAGUCAAGGAGACGGGGAAGGCAAAGAAAGGCCCUAAAUUUGCAGUCAUGAAAAAGGUCAUAACUUCGAAAGCUAUUAAAAACUACAAAGAGGAGGUUUUGAACCCAAGUAAGAAAGAUCUUCGAAAGGAUAAGCUCCCAAGAAACGUGCCAAAUGUUUCUUCCGCGCUUUUCUUCAAACAUAACACCGCAUUGGCACCGCCUUAUCGGGUUUUGGUUGAUACCAACUUCAUAAACUUCUCCAUCCAGAAUAAAGUGAGUGUUUCACGAGGCUGUCAUUCGUUAUUUUUAUUUUGUUCUGGUUAUUACUCUUUUGGAUCUUUGUACCAAAAUUUAAAAGGAGAAAUUCUUUUUGUGGAUGUUAAAUCUGUAUUCUCCAUGGCACCUUAUGCAAAUUCCCUUUUUUUUCUCAAAUAAAUGUAUUAAUUAAUAAUAAA